rnacentral:rRNA from 1 species
AUUGAACGCUGGCGGAAUGCUUUACACAUGCAAGUCGGGCGGCAGCAUGGACUUCGGUCUGAUGGCGAGCGGCGAACGGGUGAGUAACACAUAGGAACAUACCCCGUAAUGGGGGAUAACGCCGAGAAAGCGGUGCUAAUACCGCACACGUCCUGCGGGGGAAAGCGGGGGAUCUCCGGACCUCGCUUUAUGUGAUUGGCCUUGGUCUGCUUAGCGAGUUGGUGGGGUAAGGGCUCACCAAGGCGACGAUCAGUAGCUGGUCUGAGAGGAUGCUCAGCCACACUGGAACUGAGACACGGUCCAGACUCCUACGGGAGGCAGCAGUGGGGAAUUAUGGACAAUGGGCGAAAGCCUGAUCCCGCCAUUCCGCGUGAGUGAAGAAGGCCUUCGGUUUGUAAAGCUCUUUCGGCAGUAACGAAACGGCGGACUCUAACAUAGUCUGCUAAUGACGGUACCUGAAGAAGAAGCACCGGCUAACUACGUGCCAGCAGCCGCGGUAACAC